AAAGCACUUUGAAAAGAGAGUUAAAUUGCGCGUGAAACUGUGCAUCGAUAAGCGAGUGAGCAUGUACUGUUAGUGGAAGCAGCAGCAGCAAUGUGUCUGCGUACCUCUGUGCAUAUGAUUCAGGUGGCAGGUGCAGCUAUCUACGUCAUGCGCGGGUGCACAUCUGGCGCUCGCAAUGAGUAUUUAAUGGCGUUCGGUAUUUGGCCAGCCAGUGCACUUUAUGUGUACAGUUAUCCUGCCUGGUCCAAGGAAUUGUAAUGUGAACCUGGUGUUAAUGGGCGUGUCAAGAACAGGGGUGUCCUCCUGUAGGAUGCUCUUCUGGUACGGAUAACGGUCAGGACGGAGCGCGGGCUGGCGCGGUUGUUUAUUGCAUCCGUUUGGAGUCAGCGUUUAUGACAGGACAUUUGGGCUUGUGUCGGUGGCCACGGUGUGUGGAGCUGAAUGCUGCGAGUGAGUGGCAUUCUACGAGAAACAGUUAGUUUGGCAUCGGUCGUUUGGGCACGUAUGCGCGUUUAGCAGCCGAAGUUUUUUGGCUGCCACACCUGCGUUCUCUUUCGGCGGAUUGGCUUGUGUACAUCCGGAAAGGCAUAUUUUCGUCAAAGGUGGGAAAUGAUACAGCAUCACUCGAACCGUCUUGAAACACGGGCUAAGGAGUUCAAUGUUGACGCGAGUGUCUUGGAACUCGAAGGUCAGGAUGCGAAGUGAAGGCGAUGGUGAUACGUUCGAUAUCACGGAGACAGCACUAGCUGCCUGUACUGGUGCUUGCUCCAGUGCUGGCACGGCAACGCGACGUGAACCAAGCAAAGUUUGUGCACGUGUAUGGGUCGACGUUUGUGACGGGUGGACGUUGAUGGGCCACUUACGGUUGAGCGUGAGCAUUGAGACCCGAAAGAUGGUGAACUAUGCCUGAGUAGGAUGAAGUCAGAGGAAACUCUGGUGGAGGUCCGAAGCGCUUUUGACGUGCAAAUCAAUUGUCAAACUUGGGUAUAGGGGCGAAAGACUAAUCGAACCAUCUAGUAGCUGGUUCCUUUCGAAGUUUCCCCUAGGAAAGCUGGCGUUGUUGUUAUGAUAGAUGUGACGGUGGUUGGUGACAUGAUAUUGUCUUUUCGGUGGGGCAGUUUUGUUCGGUAAAGCGAAUGAUUAGAGGCAUUGGGGACGAAGUGUCCUUGACCUAUUCUCAAACUUUAAAUGGGCAAUGAACGUUAUGCUACUUGAAUGAGUAUGGCGGCGGAAAUGACGGAUCUGUCGAGAUGGCCACUGCCGUCGCUUAAAUGCGUUGACGUCAAGUGGGCCACUUUUGGUAAGCAGAACUGGCGAUGUGGGAUGAACCAAACGUCUAGCUAAGGUGCCCAAGAUGCCUCUAAUGAGACACCAUGAAAGGUGUCAGUCGAUACUGACAGCAGGACGGUGGCCACAGAAGUCGGAAUCCGCUAAGGAGUGUGCACCAACUCACCUGCCGAAUUGACUGGCCCUGAAAAUGGAUGGCGCUGGAGACGCGUGUAGACACCUAUGCUUGACCGCCAAGGCCAAAUAAUUUUUUUGUGUGCGUAUGUCAUCACAACGGUGGCAUUGGGCGAUUGGAGAACGGUGCGAUGGUUUGGCGUGUAGAAAGGCGUGACCAAUAGCUGCGAAACUUGUGGCGCAAGCCAGGGAGGAGCUAUUGCAAGUGCAGAUCUUGGUGGUAGUAGCAAGUAUUCAAAUGAGAGCGUUGAAGACUGAAGUGGAGAAAGGUUCCAUGUGAACAUCAAUUGGACAUGGUUCAGCCGGUCCUAAGAGAAUGAAUAAGUUUAUACGUUAGCUGUACAGCGAGCGGCAUGUAUCGUGCUUCAGCUGCUCGAUCGAAAGGGGAUCAGGUUAAUAUUCCUGAGCCGAGAUACGGAUUGUAACUUGUACUAUUGUUGCGGCAGCAAUAGCCGCGACAUCGGUGGGAGUUGAAAACGGUGACGUGAUCAAACUCAGAGAGAGACUACUUGAUGUCCGGAGUGGAGUUUUCUCUUCUUUGUUAGGAGCGUUAACCCUGGAAACAGAUUGUCUGGAGAUAGGGUGCACACUCCGUAAUGCGGCGCGGGUCCUGCGACGCACCGUGCACAUCAUGUAUAGUGCUUCAAAAUCUGAGAGCGGAGCGAUUUUUAUCGUACUCGUUCGUACUGAUUUCCGCAGCAGGUCUCCAAGGUGAUCAGCCUCUAGUCCCUGGGACAAAGUAGGCAAGGGAAGUCGGCAAAUUGGAUCCGUAACCUAGGGAAAAGGAUUGGCUCUAUGGGCUGAGCAUAUCGGGCUGCUGCAAGAGGUAGGAAGCAGUGCUUAAGCGGAACUGACCGAGAUGUAGUUUCUCGCAAGGGGCGCUCUGUUGAGGUCGGACCCUAGCGCUAGCUAGCCUACGGAAGGCUUCAGCUGUGUUUUGUUCGAUGUUGGAGGUAUUGAUGGUGGUGGUGGUGAUGGUGCGACUCUAGUUGUCAUUGUGUAUUCAAUGUCAACGAAACGUUGCUCAGCGACAGCAACAGCGGCAACGGUCUUAUGCGGAAAAUAAUUCCUCGGUGUGCGUUUAACAGCCGGUAUAGAACUGGUAUGGACGAAGGGAAUCCAACUGUUUAAUUAAAACAAAGCAUUGCGAAAGCUGGUAUCGGUGUUGACGCAAUGUGAUUUCUGCCCAGUGCUCUGAAUGUUAAAGUGAAGAGAUUCAACCAAGCGCGGGUAAACGGCGGGAGUAACUAUGACUCUCUUAUGGUAGCCAAAUGCCUCGUCAUCUAAUUAGUGACGUGCAUGAAUGGAUUAACGAGAUUCCCACUGUCCCUGUCUGCGACCCAGCGAAACCACAGCCAAGGGAACGGGCUUGGGUUUUAACAGCGGGGAAAGAAGACCCUGUUGAGCUUGACUCUAGUCAGUCUUUGUGAAGAAACAUGACGGAUGUAGAAUAGGUGGGAGCCUUCGGGAUGCCGGUGAAAUACCACUGCUUUCAUUGUUUCUUUACUUACUCGGUUAUUCAGUGGGCGUUGCUUUUAUCGCUACUAUUGCGAAAUAUGUCGUCUCCUUGGGUGGGGACACAGCGUGCGGUCCGAUGUUGGUGUUGCGUGUUUCACGGGGCAUGCGCAUCGGAGUGUAUGUGUUUGCGACUGGUUCGGGAACACAGACKGAUUGGGAGUUUGACUGGGGCGGUACRUCUGUUAAAAUCUAACGCAGGUGUCCUAAGGCARUCUCAGCGAGGACAGAAACCUCGCGUGGAGUGAAAGGGCAAAAGGUUGCUUGAUCUGCACWUUCAGUACUAGUGCGGGCAAUGAAAGUUUGGCUUGUCGAUCCUUUUGAGUUUCAAGAGUUUUGAGCAAGAGGUGUCAGAAAAGUUACCACAGGGAUAACUGGCUUGUGGCGGCCAAGCGUCCAUAGCGACGUCGCUUUUUGAUCCUUCGAUGUC
rnacentral:rRNA from 1 species